CAACUCUCAACAACGGAUAUCUUGGCUCUCGCAACGAUGAAGAACGCAGCGAAAUGCGAUACGUAGUGUGAAUUGCAGAAUUCCGUGAACCAUCGAAUCUUUGAACGCAAAUUGCGCUCGAGGCUUCGGCCAAGAGCAUGUCUGCCUCAGCGUCGGGUU
rnacentral:rRNA from 1 species